GUUUUGUUUAUGAUUAGUGGAAUGAAAAAAUGAAACUGAUGUUGUGGUGCAGGAAGUGUCCCUUCAUUACGGAUUCUGGGAGUGGGCAAGCGGCGGAUCAUAGGCUGCUGUAUCGUGAAGGAAGUUUAUGGUAAGACCACGUAAGACUGAAUAUCGUUCGGCAGCUAUUAUUGGCCUAUCUUACCAAUUAGAUACAAUAAUAACUGAUACAGGUUCAUACAUAACCUGAUGUGUUAGAGAAAACGACUAAAUUCGAUUCACCCACUCAAGAAAAAACAAAUCAUAUAUAAGUCCUAUAGGAGACGCUCCCUUUCCUGGUGGCUGAAAUUACAGCGUGCUCAGCGAGUAUAGCGAGUUUCCGACGGGUUUAUAUGAUAUUUCCUAAUGCGAAAAUUACGAGUAAAGUUGAGCAAAUCGUGAAAAACUAAAAUCAAGAUUCACAUGGAUAUUUCGCAUGGGCAGUUCUCAAUGUGUAUUUUCGCCUACUAUGCAGGACAACGUCUGCCGGGUCAACUAGUACUGAAAUAAAAUUAAAUUUAAAUCGUAUCGAUAAAAUAAAUUGUAGGACAUAAAGUUGUAUUGUUUUUCUAUUGUAAUAUUAGAGUAAAAUGUAUUCUA